rnacentral:rRNA from 1 species
AGUUCAGAUUGCAGGCUGCAACUCGCCUGCAUGAAGUUGGAAUUGCUAGUAAUCGCGAAUCAGAAUGUCGCGGUGAAUACGUUCCCGGGCCUUGUACACACCGCCCGUCACACCAUGAGAGUCGAUAACACCCGAAGCCUGUGACCCAACCGAAUGGAGGGAGCAGUCGAAGGUGGGACCGGUGACUGGGGUGAAGUCGUAACAAGGUACC